rnacentral:rRNA from 1 species
CCUACGGGAGGCAGCAGUGGGGAAUAUUGCACAAUGGGGGAAACCCUGAUGCAGCGACGCCGCGUGAGUGAAGAAGUAUUUCGGUACGUAAAGCUCUAUCAGCAGGGAAGAAAAAAAGUCCUUUGGACUUUGGACGGUACCUGACCAAGGAGCCCCGGCUAACUACGUUCCAGCAGCCGCGGUAAUUCGUAGGGGGCAAGCGUUAUCCGGAUUGAGUGGGUGUAAAGGGAGCGUAGACGGCAGAGCAAGUCUGGAGUGAAUUGCCGGGGCCCAACCCCGGAACUGCUUUGGAAACUGUGCAGCUGGAGUGCAGGAGAGGUAAGCGGAAUUCCUGGUGUAGCGGUGAAAUGCGUAGAUAUUAGGAGGAACACCAGCGGCGAAGGCGGCUUACUGGACUGUAACUGACGUUGAGGCUCGAAAGCGUGGGGAGCAAACAGGAUUAGAUACCCCAGUAGUC